GACGAACGCUGGCGGCAGGCCUAACACAUGCAAGUCGAACGGACCCUUCGGGGUUAGUGGCGGACGGGUGAGUAACACGUGGGAACGUGCCUUUUGGUUCGGAAUAGCUCCUGGAAACGGGUGGUAAUGCCGAAUGUGCCCUUUGGGGGAAAGAUUUAUCGCCAUUAGAGCGGCCCGCGUCUGAUUAGCUAGUUGGUGAGGUAAAGGCUCACCAAGGCGACGAUCAGUAGCUGGUCUGAGAGGAUGACCAGCCACAUUGGGACUGAGACACGGCCCAAACUCCUACGGGAGGCAGCAGUGGGGAAUCUUGCGCAAUGGGCGAAAGCCUGACGCAGCCAUGCCGCGUGAAUGAUGAAGGUCUUAGGAUUGUAAAAUUCUUUCACCGGGGACGAUAAUGACGGUACCCGGAGAAGAAGCCCCGGCUAACUUCGUGCCAGCCGCCGCAGUAAAAC
rnacentral:rRNA from 1 species